UUGCAACCAUAUCUGGUUGAAAUACCGGUUCUCGUACGACCACUGAAGUUAAGCAACGUCAACCCUGGCCAGGUGGGUGACCACUUGGGAAUUCCAGGUGCUGUAAG